rnacentral:rRNA from 1 species
UUCCGGUUGAUCCUGCCGGAGGCUACUGCUAUCGGGGUCCGACUAAGCCAUGCAAGUUGAGAGGGAUAAGCCCUCGGCAUAUUGCUCAGUAACACGCGGAUAACCUGCCCUUGGGUUUGGGAUAACCCCGGGAAACUGGGACUAAUACCGGAUAGAUCAAAGAAACUGAAAUGUUCUCUGAUCGAAAGCUCCGGCGCCCAAGGAUGGGUCUGCGGCCUAUCAGGUAGUAGUGGGUGUAACGUACCUACUAGCCUACGACAGGUAAGGGUUGUAAGAGCAAGAGCCCUGAGAUAGAUUCUGAGACAUGAAUCCAGGCCCUACGGGGUGCAGCAGGCGCGAAAACUUUACACUGCGGGAAACCGCGAUAAGGGGACCCCGAGUGCCAGCACCUAGUGCUGGCUGUCCAGCUGUUCAAAUAACAGUUGUUAGCAAGGGCCGGGCAAGACCGAUGCCAGCCGCCGCGGUAACACCGGCGGCCCGAGUGGUAGCCGUUAUUAUUGGGUUUAAAGGGUCCGUAGCCGGCCUAUUAAGUCUCUUGGGAAAUCUGGCGACUCAAUCGUCAGGCAUUCAAGAGAUACUGGUAGACUUGGGACCGGGAGAGGUGGGAGGUACUCCAGGGGUAGGGGUGAAAUCUCGUAAUCCUUGGGGGACCACCGAUGGCAAAGGCAUCCCACCAGAACGGAUCCGACAAUGAGAAACGAAAGCUGGGGGCACGAACCGGAUUAGAUACCCGGGUAGUCCCAGCCAUAAACGAUACUCGCUAGGUGUCAGGUGCGGUGCGACCGCAUCUGGUGCCGCAGUGAAAACUUGAAGCGAGUCACCUGGGAAGUACAGUCGCAAGGCUGAAACUUAAAGGAAUUGGCAGGGGAGCACUACAACGGGUGGAGCCUACGGUUCAAUUGGAUUCAACGCCGGG